UGUAAGCGUAUACCAAAGUUGUUGCAGUUAAAACGCUCGUAGUCGGAAUUUGGCAGUUCCGGAUGUGUGCACGUCGUGUGCGCACUUCGCGGGGAUUGCUUUUGUGGUCUUGCGUAGGAUGAGGCACUUUUAUUAGUGAACGUCCUCACGCAACCACUUUUCACUGUGAGAAAAUCAGAGUGCUCAAAGCAGGCAUUUGCCGUGAAUGUAUUAGCAUGGAAUAAUAGAAUAGGACUUGGUUCUAUUUUGUUGGUUUGUUGGGACUGAGUAAUGAUUAAGAGGGACAGUUGGGGGCAUUUGUAUUUCGGUGCUAGAGGUGAAAUUCUUAGAUUACCGAAAGACAAACUGCUGCGAAAGCGUCUGCCAAGGAUGUUUUCAUUGA
rnacentral:rRNA from 1 species